GACCUUCUUCGGAGGGUAUGCUUAAAGAGGGGCUUGCGCCACAUUAGUUAGUUGGUGAGGUAAAGGCUUACCAAGAUUAUGAUGUGUAGCUGGACUGAGAGGUUGAACAGCCACAUUGGGACUGAGACACGGCCCAAACUCCUACGGGAGGCAGCAGUAGGGAAUUUUCGGCAAUGGAGGAAACUCUGACCGAGCGACGCCGCGUGAACGAUGAAGUAUUUCGGUAUGUAAAGUUCUUUUAUUGAAGAAGAAAAAAUAGUGGAAAAACUAUCUUGACGUUAUUCAAUGAAUAAGCCCCGGCUAACUAUGUGCCAGCAGCCGCGGUAAGACAUAGGGGGCGAGCGUUAUCCGGAAUUAUUGGGCGUAAAGGGUGCGUAGGCGGUUAGAUAAGUCUAUAAUUUAAUUUCAGUGCUUAACGCUGUCUUGUUAUAGAAACUGUCUUGACUAGAGUGAGAUAGAGGCAAGCGGAAUUCCAUGUGUAGCGGUAAAAUGUGUAAAUAUAUGGAGGAACACCAGAAGCGUAGGCGGCUUGCUGGGUCUUUACUGACGCUGAGGCACGAAAGCGUGGGGAGCAAACAGGAUUAGAUACCCUGGUAGUCCACGCUGUAAACGAUGAGUACUAAGUGUCGGGGUAACUCGGUACUGAAGUUAACACAUUAAGUACUCCGCCUGAGUAGUACGUACGCAAGUAUGAAACUUAAAGGAAUUGACGGGACUCCGCACAAGCGGUGGAUCAUGUUGUUUAAUUCGAAGAUACACGAAAAACCUUACCAGGUCUUGACAUACUCUGCAAAGCUAUAGAAAUAUAGUGGAGGUUAUCAGGGAUACAGGUGGUGCAUGGUUGUCGUCAGUUCGUGUCGUGAGAUGUUAGGUUAAGUCCUAAAACGAACGCAACCCCUGUCGCUAGUUGCCAGCACGUAAUGGUGGGGACUUUAGCGAGACUGCCAAUUAAACAUUGGAGGAAGGUGGGGAUAACGUCAAAUCAUCAUGCCCCUUAUGAUCUGGGCUACAAACGUGAUACAAUGGCUAUUACAAAGAGUAGCUGAAACGCGAGUUUUUAGCCAAUCUCAAAAAGGUAGUCUCAGUACGGAUUGAAGUCUGCAA
rnacentral:rRNA from 1 species